UCGGGGUCCGAUUCAGCCAUGCUAGUUGUACGGGUUUAGACCCGUAGCAAAUAGCUCCGUAACACGUGGUCAAACUACCCUCUGGACCGGGAUACCCUCGGGAAACUGAGGUCAAUCCCGGAUACUGCUUUCAUGUUGGAACACAGAAAGUCGGAAACGGUCCGCCGCCGGAGGACGUGACUGCGGCCGAUUAGGUAGACGGUGGGGUAACGGCCCACCGUGCCGAUAAUCGGUACGGGUUGUGAGAGCAAGAACCCGGAGACGGUAUCUGAGACAAGAUACCGGGCCCUACGGGGCGCAGCAGGCGCGAAACCUUUACACUGCACGCCAGUGCGAUAAGGGGACCCCGAGUGCGAGGGCAUACAGUCCUCGCUUUUCGUGACCGUAAGAAGGUCUCAGAAUAAGAGCUGGGCAAGACCGGUGCCAGCCGCCGCGGUAAUACCGGCAGCUCGAGUGAUAGCCACUAUUAUUGGGCCUAAAGCGUCCGUAGCCGGCCGAACAGGUCCGUCGGGAAAUCCACCCGCUCAACGGGUGGACGUCCGGCGGAAACCAGUCGGCUUGGGGCCGGGAGACCAGAGAGGUACGUCCGGGGUAGGAGUGAAAUCCUGUAAUCCUGGACGGACCGCCGGUAGCGAAAGCGUCUCUGGAGAACGGACCCGACGGUGAGGGACGAAAGCUUGGGUCUCGAACCGGAUUAGAUACCCGGGUAGUCCAAGCUGUAAACGAUGCUCGCUAGGUGUGGCGUUGGCUACGAGCCAGCGCUGUGCUGUAGGGAAGCCGAGAAGCGAGCCGCCUGGGAAGUACGUCCGCAAGGAUGAAACUUAAAGGAAUUGGCGGGGGAGCACUACAACCGGAGGAGCCUGCGGUUUAAUUGGACUCAACGCCGGACAUCUCACCGGCACCGACAGUGUGCAGUGACAGUCAGUCUGAUGG
rnacentral:rRNA from 1 species